AUUGAACGCUGGCGGCGGGCCUAACACAUGCAAGUCGAGCGGAUGAAGGGAGCUUGCUCCUGGAUUCAGCGGCGGACGGGUGAGUAAUGCCUAGGAAUCUGCCUGGUAGUGGGGGAUAACGUCCGGAAACGGGCGCUAAUACCGCAUACGUCCUGAGGGAGAAAGUGGGGGAUCUUCGGACCUCACGCUAUCAGAUGAGCCUAGGUCGGAUUAGCUAGUUGGUGGGGUAAAGGCCUACCAAGGCGACGAUCCGUAACUGGUCUGAGAGGAUGAUCAGUCGCACUGGAACUGAGACACGGUCCAGACUCCUACGGGAGGCAGCAGUGGGGAAUAUUGGACAAUGGGCGAAAGCCUGAUCCAGCCAUGCCGCGUGUGUGAAGAAGGUCUUCGGAUUGUAAAGCACUUUAAGUUGGGAGGAAGGGCAGUAAGUUAAUACCUUGCUGUUUUGACGUUACCAACAGAAUAAGCACCGGCUAACUUCGUG
rnacentral:rRNA from 1 species